UCAGAUCGCAGCAAGGUAAUCCUUGAUGGCUGGAUCUUUUUGCUGGAGAAUGCUUGGACUAGUGAGCAAGGGAUUCACUCAUGUUUCGUGUGUAAAGAGAGCAAGACAGAUGUUAAGCGCUGUGUGGUAACUCAGUGUGGAAAAUUUUACCAUGAGGCUUGUGUGAAAAAAUACCCCCUGACUGUAUUUGAGAGCCGAGGUUUCCGCUGCCCCCUCCACAGCUGUGUGAGCUGCCAUGCUUCCAACCCUUCAAACCCAAGGCCGUCGAAAGGUAAAAUGAUGCGGUGUGUCCGCUGCCCUGUUGCCUAUCACAGCGGAGAUGCUUGUCUGGCAGCAGGAUGCUCAGUGAUCGCCUCCAACAGCAUCAUCUGCACUGCUCACUUCACUGCUCGGAAGGGGAAGCGACACCACGCCCACGUCAACGUGAGCUGGUGCUUCGUGUGCUCCAAAGGGGGGAGCCUUCUGUGCUGUGAGUCCUGCCCAGCGGCCUUCCACCCUGACUGCCUGAACAUCGAGAUGCCUGACGGCAGCUGGUUCUGCAAUGACUGUAGGGCUGGGAAGAAGCUGCACUUCCAGGAUAUCAUUUGGGUGAAACUUGGGAACUACAGAUGGUGGCCGGCAGAAGUUUGCCAUCCCAAAAAUGUUCCCCCAAAUAUUCAGAAAAUGAAGCACGAGAUUGGAGAAUUCCCUGUGUUUUUCUUUGGGUCUAAAGAUUAUUACUGGACGCAUCAGGCGCGAGUGUUCCCGUACAUGGAGGGGGACCGGGGCAGCCGCUACCAGGGGGUCAGAGGGAUCGGAAGAGUCUUCAAAAA
rnacentral:sRNA from 1 species